rnacentral:rRNA from 1 species
AUUGAACGCUGGCGGCAUGCCUAACACAUGCAAGUCGAACGGCAACGCGGAGAUGUGUGCGGCGGCGAGGUGCGUACGGGGGAGUAAUACACCGGUCCGUACCCUACUGUGCUGGAUAACUAGACCUAAUAUUAGCUAAUACCGCAUACGACCAGGGUUUCAACGGGAGGGAUGGCAAGCCUCCGAGCAGCUGGAUCGGGCGGUGUCGGAUUAGCAAGGUGGUGGGGUAAAGGCGCACCAAGGCGAUGAUCAGUAGCUGGUCUGAGAGGAAGAGCAGCCACACUGGAAGUGAGACACGGCCCAGACUCCUACGGGAGGCAGCAGUGGGGAAUCUUGCACAAAGGGGGCAAGCCUGAUACAGCAAUGCCGCGUGUAUGAAGAAGGCCUUCGGGUUGUAAAGUACUUUUGGCCGGAAGGAAGUAAAGCUGGUUAAUACCUGGCGUGAAUGACGGUACCGGAAGAAUAAGCACCGGCUAACUACGUG